AACAGAAUCAUUUAGCUUGGUGAAAUUACGUUCGUAGUGUGUCAAAUAACCCACUUCUCUUUGAAUAGGAGCAAAAACAUAUGGUACUACGCUUCCAACAAUAGAAAUGAUGGCAUCCAUUGGGCAGGUAAAAUACUUGCAGAAACUGGUAUCAGUGUCCGUUCUUUAUGACUUGUGUUGAGACUGAAAGCAAUUGAGAAACACUAUUUUAGAUUAGGAAAAUAUGAUGUUAAAAGUCAAGGACAAUUCACAAGAAAAAGAAUGCGCUAUGUAUAUAAUAUAUAAAAGUGUUUUACUUUUUUCAAUCCAAACAAUGGGUCCAAGACAGUAAAACGUUCAUUCACACAAACACUUAAAUAAAUAAAAAUUCAAUUCAUAAUUUAGAAAGUCCCGGCCAAAAAUCUCAAAGUCUCUUCGAGGUGAACAAUUUUUUUUUUUUGUUACCAUGGUAUAUGUACGAAGUUUUCACUGCUAUUAACGAUUACUAAUUUCUGUCAAAAAAUUGUGGGGAAAACAUGGUGAGUUCUCUCCUCUCAAUCGAAUUAUUUCUAUAGGUAGGAGUCAUAAAUCAAACUUUUGACCACAUUCUUAAAGAGUCCAAAACUCUUACUUUUAAUCAAAUCUUAUGUACUUUCAAAUUUUUUAAUGAUUUUUUGUAUUCAUGUUUAUAAUAUUAUAAGUUCGAUCACUAAGGACCGACACCAACCAUUAACAGAGGUCCAAUUAAAGUCAGAGUUUUUGUUUUGUAUGUAGGGGUGUUUGUGAUGCAGUUUGGAUAUUCUGAGGUUAAAACUCAUGAUGUGAUCCAAAAACAAAAUUACUCAUGGUUUGGUUCGGAAUUAGAUGACUUCUUAAAAAAAUUGAUUUGAUCUGGUCCAAUUUAGCGUGGUUUAAUUCCAAAUUAUCAAUUACAUUUUUUUAAUUAAAUAUUAAUAUUAUUAAAAUACGGUAAAAUAAUAAGUUAAUUUGAUGUAAAAUAUACAUAUAAUCAAUACAUUAAAAAUUAAUAUUAAUAUUAUAAAUGACAAUGAUCGAUUACCUUCAAAACAUAUGAAACUAUAAAAGAAAAAAUAGAUUAAAUUGAACUAACAAGUAUUAUUUAAAAAUUAAAAAGAUCUAGUCACACUCUAAAAUCUGAGGCCUUCACCACGGAAGAAGUCAAAUUUAAGAUAUUAAAAAGAGCACACUCUAAAAUCUCAAGCCUUUACCAUAACGGAACAAAACGUUUAUAAUGGUUUGGAAAAUGAUUGUAUGGUUUAAAAUUGUAUUUAAACUUUAAAAAAAAANNNNNNNNNNNNNNNNNNNNNNNNNNNNAAAAAAAGAACAAAUUAGUACCUCUAGUCACUAGUUGCAGAAAAUCCAGACAAUUUUGAAUCUGUUUUCUUCAACUUCUUUUCCUUCAGUUUAUACUUUAUAUGAGCUGAAAAACAAGAAAUUAUAAUUAGGAAUUGAAGGGAGGAAUGUCAAGAAUCAAACUAUCAGAGAAACUCUGCCGACAAAUUUUAUACCUUUUUUCUGUUUUUUGUGGUUAGAUGAGCUGAAGAGUACUUGAUGGAAUUUAAAGCUAAAGUAAGCUAUGAAGACACUGAAAAUUGAAACUGAAAAAGCUAACAAUCGAAGACUCAAACUAAAAGAGAAAUAAAAUUGCAACGUUUUUUUUUUUUUUUUUUAUGGGGUUAUAUGAGCCUAGAAAUCAUAUUUUAGACAAAAUUUGACAUCAAUUUCAAUAACUCCCUCCGUAUAAUAAUACAAGUUGUUUUAACCAAAUUACACAAAUUAAU
rnacentral:lncRNA from 1 species